rnacentral:rRNA from 1 species
GUGCCAGCCGCCGCGGUAAUACCGGCAGCUCGAGUGAUGUCCAAUUUUAUUGGGCCUAAAGCGUCCGUAGCUGGCCAGCCAAGUUCGUCGGGAAAUCCACCUGCCCAACAGGUGGGCGUCCGGCGAAAACUGUCUGGCUUGGAACCGGAAGGCUCAGAGGGUACGUCCGGGGUAGGAGUGAAAUCCUGUAAUCCCGGACGGACCACCGAUGGCGAAAGCACUCUGAGAAGACGGAUUCGACAGUGAGGGACGAAAGCUAGGGUCUCGAACCGGAUUAGAAACCCCUGUAGUCC